AGAAGCUCCCCUGACAGAUGAGCUGCCUGGGAUUCUCACUAUAGCUGUCUUACAGACACGAGUCAAAAAACUGCUAUGAUGUGUUUAUUUACCACUAGCAAGUGGCUAGCAAGUUAGCAAGGGAGAUUUGAGCUCUGUUCCAAAACCUGCAGCAUCCUAACUUAAAAGGAACCUUGAAAGUGAUUGAUUUGGAACACAAAUAACACUCUGCAUGUGAAGCACAUAGAAGAUUCGACUUGCUAUACAGGCAAUGCAAGGACAACAAUGUGAUACUAUGAGAAGAUGUGGAACACCAUAAGGAAAUGCUGCAAGCAGGAUUAAAACCUGUGCUGCCUACACAAGGACUUUAAGUCACCACAGAAACAACAGUGUCAAUGAAGAACAUACCUGAGAUGAAAUAUGAGACUGAUAACAGAAAACAUCAGGUCCUUAGUCCAAGACUGAAGACAACACAAAGCAGAUUAAAGCGGCCAAUAGGAAAUCUCUAAUAAAUUUGCAUUAACACAUUGUGUAAAGCUGCUGGUGAUUGCCUCCCCGAGACCCUGGGGUUCGGCAUGCCAUCCCCGACUCCUGUAUGCCGGCCAGAUGGUCACUUCAGAAUGAGAUUGACACACCGUUUCAAACUGAUUUCAUGCAAGCCCUCUGGAGGGAGAGACAGACCAUCAGCUCCACUGGGAAUCAAGAUUACAAAAUAGCCAAUUAAAAAGGAAAGUGUUGAAAUCUUGGCCUGAUAAGGUGGAGAUUAAAUCGGUUCUAGUUUAUUAGGGGAAAUUAGAUAUUAGAACCCAC
ensembl:lncRNA